AAACUAACAAGGAUUCCCCUAGUAGCGGCGAGCGAAGCGGGAAGACGCUCAAAUUUAUAAUCUGGCACCUUCGGUGUCCGAGUUGUAAUCUCUAGAAAUGUUUUCCGCGUUGGACCGCACACAAGUCUGUUGGAAUACAGCGGCAUAGUGGUGAGACCCCCGUAUAUGGUGCGGACGCCCAGCGCUUUGUGAUACAUUUUCGAAGAGUCGAGUUGUUUGGGAAUGCAGCUCAAAUUGGGUGGUAAAUUCCAUCUAAAGCUAAAUAUUGGCGAGAGACCGAUAGCGAACAAGUACCGUGAGGGAAAGAUGAAAAGCACUUUGGAAAGAGAGUUAACAGUACGUGAAAUUGUUGGAAGGGAAACGCUUGAAGUCAGACUUGCUUGCCGAGCAAUCGGUUUGCAGGCCAGCAUCAGUUUUCCGGGAUGGAUAAUGGUAGAGAGAAGGUAGCAGUUUCGGCUGUGUUAUAGCUCUCUGCUGGAUACAUCUUGGGGGACUGAGGAACGCAGUGUGCCUUUGGCGGGGGUUUCGACCUCUUCACACUUAGGAUGCUGGUGGAAUGCUUUAA
rnacentral:rRNA from 1 species